GGUCCAGUAGCAUAGUGGUUAAUGUAUGAGAACUCACUCACAUUGAAGUGGUAAAGUUAUUAUUCUGAGCACCCUUGUUCAACUCAAGGCUGGACCA